GGCCAGUUAGCUCAGUUGGUUAGAGUGUGGUGCUGAUAACACCAAGGUCGCAGGUUUGAUCCUCAUUCAGUCCU
rnacentral:tRNA from 1 species